GAAAUGCGAUAAGUAAUGUGAAUUGCAGAAUUCAGUGAAUCAUCGAAUCUUUGAACGCACAUUGCGCCCGCCAGUAUUCUGGCGGGCAUACCUGUUCGAGCGUCAUUACAACCCUCAGGCCCCCGGGCCUGGCGUUGGGGAUCGGCGGAAGCCCCCUGCGGGCACAACGCCGUCCCCCAAAUACAGUGGCGGUCCCGCCGCAGCUUCCAUUGCGUAGUAGCUAACACCUCGCAACUGGAGAGCGGCGCGGCCACGCCGUAAAACACCCAACUUCUGAAUGUUGACCUCGAAUCAGGUAGGAAUACCCGCUGAACUUGAGC
rnacentral:misc_RNA from 1 species